rnacentral:rRNA from 1 species
GAUGAACGCUGGCGGCGUGCCUAAUACAUGCAAGUCGAGCGAACGGACGAGAAGCUUGCUUCUAUGAUGUUAGCGGCGGUCGGGUGAGUAACACGUGGAUAACCUACCUAUAAGACUGGGAUAACUUCGGGAAACCGGAGCUAAUACCGGAUAAUAUUUUGAACCGAAUGGUUCAAAAGUGAAAGACGGUCUUGCUGUCACUUAUAGAUGGAUCCGCGCUGCAUUAGCUAGUUGGUAAGGUAACGGCUUACCAAGGCAACGAUGCAUACCCGACCUGAGAGGGUGAUCGGCCACACUGGACGUGAGACACGGCCCAGACUCCUAGGGGGAGCAGCAGUAGGGAAUCUUCCGGAAGGGGCGAAAGCCUGACGGGGCAACGCGGAGUGAGUGAUGAAGGUCUUCGGAUGGGAGAACUCUGUUAUUAGGGAAGAACAUAUGUGUAAGUAACUGUGCACAUCUUGACAGUACCUAAUCAGAAAGCCACGGCUAACUCCGUG